UGUCCGCCAAACAUAAAAACAAUAGGACAAAUAGCGCAAUGGAAUGCAAAUACCUGGAAACCUGUUUGAUAUUUCAUGUUUUCAUAAUGGUGACAGGCUGAAAGCUGCUGUUGUUUUCUGUUUGUACAAAGCAUUUGCUGUUAAUAAUAGCCUAUUGGUGUUAUUUAUUGCUAUUAGUUUUUGGCUAAGAAAUAUUUAGCAUUUUCUUAUUUUAUAUUAUUUAUGAGUAUAUAGGAUGUGUUUAAGAUAAGUUUGUACAACAUUUGCCUUCAUAUUUCAGGCGUAUUUUAUGCAAAGAUAACUAACAAAUUGUUUUACAUUUAAACCAUGUUGAUCACUUCAUGUGUGGUGCACUUGGAAUGGAACUUUUUUUAACCAGAUUGUUAAUAAAGAGAAUGUUACUUAAAUCAUAUUGUAGUUAAGUUUUUAAGUUGACUAGUUAAACAGUUAAAAAAAAAAAAAAAAAAAAAAAAAAGAUUUUAUUUUUUUGCCGUAUCACCCAGCCCUACCAUUGUGCGAUAGAGUGAAUAAAUCAACAGUUUCAGUUUCAAUAUAUCUCUGAAAAUGACAGAUGAGAGUACCAGGAUGAGCUGGAUGGUACACUAGAAUCACUACCGAUACUGUGAACAAGUACCGCACUGCCUGCACAAACACCGGGACGCACACGGUUUGUUUUUAGACUGGAUAUAGUCAGGUAAACACGUAGUAGCAGUGUCACAUCAUCGUUUAUUCCUCAAGUCUGUGGAAACACACGACAAGUUUGCCCGGCUAAGAACUGGAACGACACAGGAACGCGAACCAUGUCAGUGGAAAAAAAGGGUUGGUAAAAGGAAGCGAGAUAUCACUGUAGCACAAAACAGGAGACUACACUUCAGUUCAACAUUCCCCAGAAUCUGCUAACUUCAACACUACCCGAGGUCCUGAGCCACCCACAACAUGGACCGAACUCAACACGUUGUGUAAUGACUUGCAACAACAACAUUCUUUCUCAAGAACGUUUAUUUCCAGGACAGGGACAGAAAGGAGAGGAACGGGUAGCAGUGACUGGAAGAGACAGAUCCCACGUUAUGCAAACAUGAACUUUUUACAAUAAAAUGCAUCAAAUAUGAGAAACUGUCUGUUCACAAAAGCCAACCACAAAUUCACACUUCCCUCAGAUGAAGCAGCAGCCAUUGAGCAAAGCCACAAAGCUUUGAUGUGGCCAUUGUGCCAUAAGGCAAAUAUAAUGUUAUUCUGUAUAUGUGUUGAAGAAAGAAAACCAAGGAAAGAAAAGAGCGACUGAGCAAAAUACAGAGAAAUACAGCAAAAAAAGAAGGGUGAGAUGAACUCAUGCUAAUCAAUUAAAAUACAUUCCUUUCAUUUGCUCAGCCCACCUGCUCAGAAACAGCUUUAUGGGACACAAAGGUCCUCAGAGGUUAAAGACAUUACCCUUCUACACAACUUAAAAAAAAUAAAAUAAAAAAAAUAAAAAAAAAUACAUUAACCAACUCCAAGCCAUUUGUGGGUUCUUCCUAAAACUGAAGCCUGAGCUUUGCAAAAACAUGCAAGAUCAGGCUAUUUCCCCUGCUGACUCUCUUAGUGAGAAAGGAAACAAUUUAAACCUUUCAUUCUUCACUGGCCUAAAACAAAACAGCUCAAACACAUUCAUACUGUACAGAGAUUUCAGUGUGAAAUGACUGAGCAAACCUGAUAAGAGCUGUUCUUUUCAUGGCGC